CACACACACACACACACACACACACACAUACCAUGCCUCUCUGUUUCUGUCUCUCUUUUCUCUCUCCGUCCUGCUGUACUCCGGGAGACUGGCGUGCUGUGGUCCUCUUGGUGAUUUAGCCCAUUCCCCAUGCCCAGCUCCAGCCUUACUCUUUCCCGCCGCUCUGGAAGUUCUUCUUCCCCGCUUUCCAGGUCUGGACAAACAGCGCUUUUCUCUCAGCUGAAAGAGGUCCCUGGAGCACAGAAGCCCAGACCUCCUCCCAGCUGCCUGUGGCUUCCUGGCAGAGGCACCCUGGCUGUGCUGAGGCUAGGGUGGACCCUGGAGACACACCCUCCCUUCCUAGGACUAGCAGCCACUGAGAGUCUCCCUCAAGGUGCCCGUUGUUGGCGGACCACACCCGGCUGCCUGAGGUGUUUAGAAACUGCUCUGAGAGGCUUCUUUGAACACGAUGGUGGGCUCAGCAGCCGGGGCCACCUGCACUUAAAAACCGCUGUGGCUUUACUGGGGAUGUGCUGGGAUGGCUUUCAGCUUGGCCUCAAAGGCCCGCUUCCCACAGAGGCUCAAAGCUUCCAUUCACGGUGACAGUGGCCCCUUUCCAUUCCAGGCCUCCACUGGGAGGUGCCUUUAGCUGGCGUUUCACUGUAGACAGUGAAGGGUAGGAAAUUAAAUGCCAUGUCCCCCGGCACUUGGAGGUGGCCAUCACUCGUCCGGGUUGAAUGGAGAUGGCUGUGGGCUGUGUGUCUGUGUCUUUCUGUCUGGCUGCAUAUUUAGUAUGAGGUUGAAAUGAUCUGGUUCCUCUGGACUCCACCUCUCAGAUGCUAGGAUGGAAAGUGACCAAGUCCACGCUUCCCACUCGGACAGCACGCAAGACGCGUCAACAAUAGAAAGAGCAGGGCCAGUGUUUGUUGAAUGAAGAAGCAAUUCAAAAUGUAUCAGCCGGCUCGUCUGUUUCUCCUGGCCACUUUCCAGUCAGGGGAACUUAGGGGAGGACUGGAUGGAUGCGAGAGAGGCUUGGAGGGCAGGUCAGGUCCCAGUGGCUGGCAGGGAAGUCUGCAGUGUGACUAGGCCUUUCCACUCUCCAGUCUAACUCUGGGCCCCUGAUGGCCAUAAAAUCACUCUGCUUAGACUGGCAACAUUUUCCUUUAAUAUGUUCCUGAAGGCUCUGGCAGGACCUAGAGGAAAAUUCCAGAGUAACAAGAAGAGAGCUCUUUCACAUCUUGGGGACCAAUAGGGGCGGGACCCAGGGGCACCCGGCAGCCCUGGGUCAGUGGUUCUCUGCCCAUUGUCUGGUAGAGGGACAGACAGACCUCCCUGAUGUCUGUGGUGUGGGGAUGGCAGGCGGCCUGGCCUCUUCUCCACGGGAAUUCAUAUAAAACUGCAUCAAGGUGUUUCUACCAAGUGUGCGAUGGAGCCUGGCACGUGUUACAUGGCCUGCACAUCUGUGGGGACACUCCCAUCACCCCCAAUCUCCCCCAGCUCAGAAACAAUGCCUCCUUCUCUCUCCAGGUCUCCCCACGCCGGACCCUGGCUCAGCACUGCCUGUGGCCAGCUGACUCUUUCCUUCCUCCAGUCACAGAGCAGAGGACCCUCUUCAUGACCUCCCAUAGCUGCCUGUGCACCCCAUCACCACUCAAACAAGCCUGCAUUGGCUAAAGGAACCAUGGAGGCAGGGAGACAGAACUUUCUAGGCAGAGACGAUGACAGCAGCUUGUGCAAAGGCCCUGGGGUCAGGAAGUGCGGCCGGCGGAGGAGCUGCAGGUGUGGACUGAGUCAAGCCUCACCGACAAAGGCCUGGCUGGUGUCCGUUGUGGCGAGGCGGCAGAGGCUUGCCACGCUGACCUCUGACCUCCACACUGAAGGGAAGAGGCCUGUGCUUUCCUCAUCCUGGAUCUGUGUGUUGUAGCUGGAUGCCAGGACCAAGUCUAAAACCCAGAUGUGGCAUCGGCUGAGACCCUGGGACAGUGGCAAGGUGGGCUGAGCUCGGAAGGUGCGGCCUCUGUGUGGUGCUGAUGGCAGCCCCGUUGGUAGUAGAAACUUUCCCUGUUACUAGGCUGUGUUGUUGCCCGCUGAGACCCCAACCCUGAGAAAAACAGGCCCACCGCUGUCGGGGGAGGGUGGGGUGAGAUGGGGGUGAGGAGGCCAGCAGAUUAGAACCAAGCGUCAGCCACAACAUCUUUGGGCUCUGCAGAGGCAAGCUACGUGUUUACCCAGGAUCUCAAGGUGAAGUUUCAGCUGACCCCGGCACAACACAGUAAAAUUUGAAAUUGAA